rnacentral:rRNA from 1 species
GAGGAAUAUUGCGCAAUGGGGGAAACCCUGACGCAGCGACGCCGCGUGGAUGAUGAAGGCCUUCGGGUCGUAAAAUCCUGUCAGAUGGAAAGAAUGGUUUAUAGGUUAAUACCCUGUAGAUUUGACGGUACCAUCAAAGGAAGCACCGGCUAACUCCGUGCCAGCAGCCGCGGUAAUACGGAGGGUGCAAGCGUUGUUCGGAAUUACUGGGCGUAAAGCGCGCGCAGGUGGUUUGCUCAGUCAGAUGUGAAAGCCCACGGCUUAACCGUGGACUGGCAUUUGAUACUGGCAGACUUGAGUACUGGAGGGGGUAGUGGAAUUCCCGGUGUAGAGGUGAAAUUCGUAGAUAUCGGGAGGAAUACCGGUGGCGAAGGCGACUACCUGGCCAGAUACUGACACUGAGGCGCGAAAGCGUGGGGAGCAAAC